UCUUCCUCUCUUGUCCACAAAUAAGCACAAGAGGCCCUGGGCAUUUUUUGAGGAGUGUGGUUUCUGAUUUUUGUUGGAGGACCUGGAAAUGAAAAUGCUCCCUGCUUUGUUGACCUUCCACCUUCUAAGAAAGGCCACUAGCUGGCCCAGAGAUGACACGUGGCCAAGGAAUGCCAACAGGUGUCUUGCUCCAGCCUUUCACCACAGAAGUUGGAUUCCAGGCUCUAGGAAAAGGAUGGGACUGUGAGCCAAGACACGGACAGAGCUCAGAGCUGCAGGAUUCCCGAAACCGCCAGUCAUCCCUGGAGGCUCUGGUUUGCGUUGAAGAGAUGUGCGUGCGUCAGACACAGAUGAAAGCAACUUGAGACAUCAACGGCUGUGAUUUUGGACAAACGAGCCUCCUUUGGGUUGUCAAAUGGGAGAAAACUGCCUGCCCUGCCUGCCUGCGCUGAGGUGGGGAUGACGGCUGGGAACGAGCUCUGCAAGCAGUCCGCUGUGGAGCUCAGGGGCUGCUGUUACUGUGCUGCAUGUGCGCAAAUGCAGUGAUCUCAGGGGAGGAAGUGGUGUCAGGGCAGCUUCUGGGACCACUUCCGUCUGUGGUGUCCGUGCGCCUGCAGGAUUAAGCCCUGAAUCCCAACUCUGGGGUUACCUCAGGCCUGACUGCUAGAUUCACUUCUUGGCUUUCCUCUUUGGUUUGUGGUACCUUCUCCUGGCAAACCUAAGAUGUGGAUCAGACCAUUUCCUGUUCCCUGGGUGUACUCCUAUGUGGCCUGGACCAAUGACCUGAGUCCAAGCAGCCUUUGGAUGGCUCUGUAAGCUGGCUGGUCUCAGCCCCGAGUGGCAGAGAGGAGGCUGCACUGAUGGGCUGUGGGUGCAUGACUUGUUACAGCACCACAGUGACUGACACUUCUGCUCCUUAGGUCGGGCCUAAUACCAGCUAUUCGCCGCUCUCAUGAAAAGCGAAUAGGUUUAACAAUAGCAGUAAUUGUUGGGCUUUCAUGUGUCAUCACAUCUAGGCUGACCACCUAUUACUUGCUCAGCACCAGUGUGAGAGGGGAAUGGCAAGGAGGUUUUGUCUCAGGUGCAGACUUUGGUGGUUCCCUCUGGCAAUACUCUGUUGAAGAGGAUUCUAAUAGACCUGGUCUUGAGUUUGUGGUAGAGUAGCAUGAUCGAUUAAUUAUGUCUGCCAGUGAUGUAGAAAUAGUUGUUGGGCUAUGUUUGUCAUUUAAAUAUAAAAAAGACUGGUGUCAUUUAUUUGUUUUCUUUCUUCUCUUCAUAUUUGUUAUAAAAGAAGGUGGCUUUAAAAAAAGAAUCUGUGGAUGUUCUUUUGGGUCUUUUAAUAAGAUCUUGGUUAUAAUAGUCUAAAGGUCAUUAACCAAAAUUAUUUGAUGGGACUUCAAGAUGUAAAUGAAGAAGGCAAAGUCACAGCCAUUCUUCCAUCCGUGUCAAAUAAGAAGACAUUUCCCAGACUUCUCAUUCUCUUUUUAUUGCUUUAUUGCUUUGUAUUGCUUUAUCGUGACAUAUCACCUGGAUCUGAAACCUUAGAUUGCUCUAAAUCUUUCAGAGAACAGUGCACAGUUGUUACUAUACUUAUGUGCUUGAACAAAACCACGCACGGAGCAAAUCUGAAUUAACUAUCUAAAGAUAUACCGUAUUAUAACCUGCUUUUUGAUUUUGAAUUCCAAGCAGUACUUUCAGGGUACGUAUUCUUUAUUCUUGCCUGAAUUAGUCAGGUAAUUGCUUUAAUUUUCCACCCUACUUUGUGGUAUGGUCAAAGCUAAUGAAUGGGAUUGCACUUUACUUAUGAAAUUGAGACAUACGGGUAUAGAUAUAAAUAGAUACAGAUAAUCAAAUAGGAACAACAGGUUUUCCUUAAGGAAGCAGAAUCGUUUUCAUGAGGCCCAGAGAGCACACUCGAGCAAACCAAGACAAGAUUCGCUCCCUCUGGCAUUUAGCACUGGCAUUUGGACCAUCCACUGUGGAUGCUAAAAGUGUGCAGCUCCUUAAAAAUCUCAUCAGCAUUGUGGUCAUUCAUUUCCUUUUUGCUUAUAAUGGUGACAGUUAGCUAGGAUAUAUCAUAGGUUUUGAAAUUUUUUUUAGUUCAUUACUUCU